rnacentral:rRNA from 1 species
CUGGCCUUGACAUCCAGAGAACUUAGCAGAGAUGCUUUGGUGCCUUCGGGAACUCUGAGACAGGUGCUGCAUGGCUGUCGUCAGCUCGUGUUGUGAAAUGUUGGGUUAAGUCCCGCAACGAGCGCAACCCUUAUCCUUUGUUGCCAGCGAUUCGGUCGGGAACUCAAAGGAGACUGCCGGUGAUAAACCGGAGGAAGGUGGGGAUGACGUCAAGUCAUCAUGGCCCUUACGGCCAGGGCUACACACGUGCUACAAUGGCGCAUACAAAGAGAAGCGACCUCGCGAGAGCAAGCGGACCUCAUAAAGUGCGUCGUAGUCCGGAUUGGAGUCUGCAACUCGACUCCAUGAAGUCGGAAUCGCUAGUAAUCGUAGAUCAGAAUGCUACGGUGAAUA